rnacentral:rRNA from 1 species
GACGAACGCUGGCGGCGUGCUUAACACAUGCAAGUCGAACGGAAAGGCCCUGCUUUUGUGGGGUGCUCGAGUGGCGAACGGGUGAGUAACACGUGAGUAAAAUGUCCUUGACUUUGGGAUAACUUCAGGAAACUGGGGCUAAUACCGGAUAGGAGAUCCUGCUGCAUGGUGGGGGUUGGAAAGUUUCGGCGGUUGGGGAUGGACUCGCGGCUUAUCAGCUUGUUGGUGGGGUAGUGGCUUACCAAGGGUUUGACGGGUAGCCGGCCUGAGAGGGUGGCCGGGCACAAGGGGACUGAGGGACGGCCCAGACGCCUACGGGAGGCAGCAGGGGAGAACAUUGCACAAUGGGCGGAAGCCUGAUGCAGCAACGCCGCGUUCGUGAUGACGUCCUUCUGGGUGUAAACCGCUGUCGCCUGUAACGAAGCGUGAGUGACGGUAAUGGGUAAAGAAGCACCGGCUAACUACGUG